rfam:Gongylonema pulchrum genome assembly, scaffold: GPTH_contig0045495
CCAACGGCCCUCUUUAGGGCCACAGACAUGUGAGUCAUGCUUCUCU